rnacentral:piRNA from 1 species
UGUGCACAUUACCCUCAUGAUUACAUGGA